GCAAACUUGGUCAUUUAGAGGAAGUAAAAGUCGUAACAAGGUUUCCGUAGGUGAACCUGCGGAAGGAUCAUUAUUGAAUAAACUUGGUUAGGUUGCUGCUGGCUCCUACGAGCAUGUGCACGCCUAUUCCAUCUUUAAACCCCUGUGCACCUUGUGUAGAUCUGAAGAACGUUUCGGGGGCUGUCCUCGGUCAGAGAAAUGCUGUGUCGCAAGGCCGGCUUUUCUUGUAAAUUCAGGUCUACGUUUCUACACACCCUUUUAAAGCAUGUAUUUGAAUGUUGUUCAUAUAAUAAACACAUACAACUUUCAACAACGGAUCUCUUGGCUCUCGCAUCGAUGAAGAACGCAGC
rnacentral:misc_RNA from 1 species